AUGCAGCAUUUGCCUCCUGCAGAUGUGGCAGCGUAGAAGAGCGGCAAAAAGAGAUUUUUAUGAUCAGCUCCAACACCUGAAUCCAGAUAAAAAUGUUUGCCAGCCGUGGUGGCAGUGGAGGGGGAAAAGGGGGCAAAUAUUCAGUAGAGGAUCUCUAUGGCAUCACCAAGAAGCCAAAGGCAUCCACCUCAUCUGGGAGCAUCGCUCCCAAAUCUGGCACCCGGAGCAGUAAAACCCCAGACCCGAAGAGCGAGUCGGAGGCCUUCGCUUCACAGAUCCUGGAGGCAGCUCACCGGCUGGUGGAGCGAAGGAGACUGGAGCUUUACCUGCGGGAAUGUGGCCUCUCCCUGGCCGAGUGUGAGGCUGGCCACUCUGCAAUGACGUACAGUUUCUGCUUGAGGUGCAGGUUUUGUCACCGUGGGAAUCCUGGAAAUAAGGUGCUUUAUGGUUAAUAGUUUUUGCAGUUUAUAGAAGCUUAUAGUCACACAAAAACAAAAUAAAUGAGAUGCUUUGGUGCUGAGAUUUCACUAAAUCACCCUUUAUGCACCUGUAAAAGGAGAAAAAAAAACUGUCAUCCUCUAUACUGUUUUAUUUCUUGAGAGUUUCCAUUCAUCACAAUAAUGUUCUGCAUGGAAUGUCCUGGCAUUUUAGUUUUAGAACAAAUGUAAACAUGUUAAACCGAUUUAUUGAUAGUUUCUGAUGUGAG
rnacentral:lncRNA from 1 species